rnacentral:sRNA from 1 species
AUUUUAAGUCUUUAUGUUAUUUCUCGAGUCUUUUUAGUGUAUUUUCAGGUAUUCUAUGCAAUGGGACAACAAUAGAGAUGGGGAGACAUUUUGGAGCAAAAGAUAAG